rnacentral:misc_RNA from 1 species
AUAAUUAUGGAACUAAAUAGUUAAUUGAGUCAAAUUAUAUAGACUAAUUAAUGUAUUUUUCCAAAAUAUGGAGAUUAACUAAUUAGUUUCAUUAAAAUAGAGUGACUAAAUGAUAUGUUGAUUAAUAUUAAUUAACAGAAAAAUUGACAUAUGGGCUAAACAGUUUAAUGUAAGCAAAAUACAUGGAUUAAAUCGUGUAUUUUUUAAAAUACAGAUAUCAAAUAACUAGUUUCAUUAAAAUACAAAGACUAAAUAGUAAUUUACCAUAAAUAUAAAUUUAUCAUGUAGUGAUAUUGAGCGCAAGAAUCAAAUGUAGGAUAUUGAGAUAUUGUUAGGUCUGUUCACUUGUGGAAAGCUGAGUAAUUAUCGGAAAAGUUCUAUAAGAAAAUAGAGUUUAGUGUUUAUGUAUCCCAAUUUUCCAAAUAGAGAACUGGUACUCUUUCCUUUAAGAUAAAAGUUUUGUUUUUCCAACAAUUUGGAAGACAAUGACUUUUUUAAUCCAAAAUUAAAUAAUUAUUUAGAAAA